rnacentral:rRNA from 1 species
AGAGUGCAGGAGAGGAAGGUGGAUUCCCCGGUGUAGCGGUGAAAUGCGUAGAGAUCGGGAGGAAUACCAGUGGCGAAGGCGGCCUUCUGGACUGACACUGACGCUGAGGCGCGAAAGCGUGGGUAGCAAACAGGAUUGGAUACCCUGGUAGUCCACGCCGUAAACGAUGUCGACCAGCCGUUGGACCCCUUGAGGGUCUGGUGGCGCAGUUAACGCAAUAAGUCGACCGCCUGGGGAGUACGGCCGCAAGGCUAAAACUCAAAUGAAUUGACGGGGGCCCGCACAAGCGGUGGAGCAUGUGGUUUAAUUCGAUGCAACGCGAAGAGCCUUACCUGCCCUUGACAUCCUGCGAACCCGGAAGAGAUUCCGGGGUGCCUUCGGGAACGCAGAGACAGGUGCUGCAUGGCUGUCGUCAGCUCGUGUUGUGAAAUGUUGGGUUAAGUCCCGUAACGAGCGCAACCCCUAUCCCUUUUUGCCAGCGGUCCGGCCGGGAACUUCAGGGAGACUGCCGGUGACAAACCGGAGGAAGGUGGGGACGACGUCAAGUCAUCAUGGCCCUUACGGGCAGGGCUACACACGUGCUACAAUGGCCGGUACAAAGGGUUGCGAAGCGGCGACGUGAAGCCAAUCCCAUAAAGCCGGCCUCAGUCCGGAUCGGAGUCUGCAACUCGACUCCGUGAAGUCGGAAUCGCUAGUAAUCGUGGAUCAGAAUGCCACGGUGAAUACGUUCCCGGGCCUUGUACACACCGCCCGUCACACCAUGGGAGUGGACUGCACCAGAAGUGGUUAGCUUAACCUUCGGGAGAGCGAUCACCACGGUGUGGUUCAUGACUGGGGUGAAGUCGUAACAAGGUAACC